rnacentral:rRNA from 1 species
AGCGAACGCUGGCGGCAGGCUUAACACAUGCAAGUCGAGCGGGCAUAGCAAUAUGUCAGCGGCAGACGGGUGAGUAACGCGUGGGAACGUACCUUUUGGUUCGGAACAACACAGGGAAACUUGUGCUAAUACCGGAUAAGCCCUUACGGGGAAAGAUUUAUCGCCGAAAGAUCGGCCCGCGUCUGAUUAGCUAGUUGGUGAGGUAAUGACUCACCAAGGCGACGAUCAGUAGCUGGUCUGAGAGGAUGAUCAGCCACAUUGGGACUGAGACACGGCCCAAACUCCUACGGGAGGCAGCAGUGGGGAAGAUUGGACAAUGGGCGCAAGCCUGAUCCAGCCAUGCCGCGUGAGUGAUGAAGGCCCUAGGGUUGUAAAGCUCUUUUGUGCGGGAAGAUAAUGACGGUACCGCAAGAAUAAGCCCCGGCUAACUUCGUGCCAGCAGCCGCGGUAA